GCUCCCCAGGGCAGAAAACCUCAGCAUGCUACACCAUAGGAUCUGUUAGUUACUUCUACUCUCAGAAAACAGUGUUGGACUGCCUGCUGGUUUCUCAGGGAACUGGUGACAGAGCUGACUAAGAAAGGUUUGAGAACUAACAUAAUAUCUGAGGACUGGUGGAAUGAUAAGCAAUAGAAGUCUAUUCAUCUUAUGGGUCUGGAGACUGGGAAGGCCAGCAGCAUGGUACUGACCCUGAAGUAGAAUAAGAGUAAAAAAUGGGAACCCAAGCUGGACCAGGCAUCUAAGCCUUUCGGGAGCUGUCCUGGCAUCAGUUACAGAAACAUCUCCUCUCUUCUCCUCUGCCGGGUGUCAGAGUGCUUAUUCCAGAAAGGUUCCCAUAACAGCAUCAGGUGGGAUCACAGCAAAGGAUGGCGACAUGAAAACUUCAAUUUUCAGCUUUGUACUUAAAAUUCAAGCUUGAAGAGAGUGUUAAGACUCUUGUCUAUCAUCCGUAAAACACCAAUUUUGGGCCAAUGAAGAAAGAAGGAUCUGAGAUGAAGAGAGACAUCACCACCAGAGCAGUUUGCAAAAUGAAAGAAACAGACUCACUCCACGUACCUUGGAAGGUACACACUGUCUACUGAAGCAUCUGUGUACACUCUGCAUACAAUGAGCAACCUCUCUCAUCGGGGCAAAGCCACGGUGUGGAUGACGUGUACACAAAUACAUUUCUGCCCACGUAGUCAGCUGAUGAAAUAAAUGGCCAUCCACUGAAAUGUCUAAAUAUAUAUUUGCAUGUAUAGAUAAAGACAUGAGUUCAGUUUUAGCUUCAGGUCUUUAUGGUCACUGUGGCCAUAAAGUGAUUAAAAAUAACA
rnacentral:sRNA from 1 species